ensembl:lncRNA TCP10L3 t-complex 10 like 3 (pseudogene)
GGAGAUGAGGCGGGAGGACUUGGGGACAGCUGUGGGGACACGGCCCAGAUGCUCUGGUCCCAGCAGAAGUGACUGGCGGGGACCAGGAUGCUGGAGGGUCAGCUCGAGGCCGGGUAGCCCAAGGAGGGCACCCACCCAGAAGACCCGUGCCCGGGAGCUGGGGCUGCCAUGGAGAAGACACCUGCAGCAGCCGAGGUCCCCAGGGAGGACAGCAAUGCCGGGGAGAUGCCGUCAUUACAGCAGCAGAUCACCAGCCUCCACCAAGAGCUCGGGAGACAGCAGUCGCUGUGGGCUGAUAUUCACAGAAAACUCCAGAGUCAUAUGGAUGCCUUGAGGAAGCAGAACCGGGAGCUCCGAGAAGAGCUGAGAGGCCUGCAGCGGCAGCAGUGGGAAGCCGGGAAGAAACCCGCAGCGUCCCCACACGCGGGGCGAGAAUCACACACUCUGGCAUUGGAACCUGCUUUUGGAAAAAUUUCACAUCUGUCAGCUGAUGAAGACACAACGCCCAAAUACGCUGGCCGCAAGAGUCAGAGUGCCACUCUCCUGGGACAAAGAUGGUCAUCUAACCACUUAGCUCCUCCAAAGCCAAUGAGUUUAAAGACAGAAAGAAUUAACUCGGGGAAAACACCACCACAGGAAGAUAGAGAGAAAAGUCCUCCCGGGAGACGUCAAGACAGAAGUCCAGCACCCACUGGAAGGCCGACUCCCGGUGCAGAAAGACGGGGGGUGUCUGAAGACGGAAAGAUUAUGCAUCCAUCUUCCCGAAGUCCGCAAAACUCCGGUGGCAGAAAAUCACCAGUGCAGGCUUCCCAGGCCACCACGCUGCAGGAGCAGACGGCAGCAGCCAGAGGAGCUGACAGAAGCUCAUCAGUCUUAGGGAGUUCUGAAGGCGGAUUUCUCAGCCGCGUUCAAGCUGACGAGUUCGCCAGUUCUGCCCCAGACAGUGCAGAGCGGCAGAAUCUUCCUGUAAACCCACCAUCUUCCCUGGAAAUAGCACAGGCCAUGGACACUAAGAUGAAAAAGGAGGAAGUACAGGAAGAAAAACGACAUCCAAAGGGCAAGGCAGAUGACUGCCGGCGGUCCGGUUUCCCGAGUGAAUUUCCAGGAGCUCUGCACGCCGCUCCCUCCAGACAGGACAUGGGGCCCUGACCUGGAGGCCAGGCGUUUCUAGCAUUGUUGACUGCCAGUUUAUUCCCAGUAAAUAAAGCAAUACGCUUUUCAGGAGGAAGAUUUGUUUUAAAUACUUAAAAAAAAACCCAAAACUAUAGCCUCAAAUAUCUUCCAGCCACCACAUUUUAGCCCUUGAGGAGAGCUCAGUUCCGGAAGGACGCGUCAAGGUGGCGGUGGUCGGCAUUGACUCAGGAAGGGGUGGGAAGAGGCACCUGCUGCGGCUGCGGCUGCGGCUACAGUGUUUUGUGAGCUCCGAGGAGACCCAGUCCUGCCUGGGGCAGCACAUCAUCGCUGCUUCUUCAGCUCAACAGUUCGUUCAUCUCACGCCUCUUGCUGGCCUGUUAGAAACUGGGAGUCGGCCUCAGGCUAGCUUUGCUGAGGGAACUCUGCCUCAGUAAAAGCGAAUUCAUGUCUUGCAAGCGGGUAAAGCAUUUGGAUAAAUGAACAACAGGGAAUGCUACUUGCAGUAACAGUUUGAAUUCACUGAAAUGCUUUUGUCUUUAGCGCAGUGGUUGUAGUGGUUUGUCAGGGGAGAAGGAAACCCACAUCAUUUGAGCACCUGACCUUGCCAUCCCCGUAGGCAGGUCCAUGAGACAUAAGUGAUGCUCCUCCUUGGCUAAGUGCAUGGAGGAACCAAUCGCUGAAGCUCAUGAAACCACGAAGAUGAGGACACAAGAACUAGGUAACGCGCUGUGCCCUCUGCUAGCGCGAUCCUUCCUUUCUCCCCACAACCAGCGGUCACCCACCUCUGCCUGCCCCUAUGUCUCUGGCUCCCCCACCCUCCCUCCCAGGUCUUCAGCACUUUCCUCUUCUCGUGACUCAUCUUGCAUCUACUUCUUGUGUAUCUUGCAUUGGAUAUGCCAAAGUUCUUUCCUUUUUUGUGUUUUCUUUCUUUUAAUAAUAUAAACUCCAAAAUAGAUUGUUUGAUUCUUUUCAUGUGGAACAUUUAAAAUAUUAUUUGUGCUUUAUUA